rnacentral:rRNA from 1 species
UACGUAGGGUGCGAGCGUUAAUCGGAAUUACUGGGCGUAAAGUGUGCGCAGGCGGCAGAGCAAGUCGAGUGUGAAAGCCCCGGGCUUAACUUGGGAAUUGCGCUCGAAACUACUUUGCUGGAGUGUGGCAGAGGAAGGCGGAAUUCCACGUGUAGCGGUGAAAUGCGUAGAGAUGUGGAGGAACACCAAUGGCGAAGGCAGCCUUCUGGGCCAACACUGACGCUCAUGCACGAAAGCGUGGGGAGCAAACAGG